rnacentral:lncRNA from 1 species
CUAGAAGUUCGGCGGUGAACGAUGAUUCGGUUCCGCCCGGAUUCCCAUCUAAUGAUCUCAUCAAACACUCAUGGCGGACGACCAAUCUGCGGAUCCUAUCCUCGAUUGGAGUCCCAUUCGUUCUUAGGUCCAGAGAACGCAUCUGAUACAAGGUAGCAUCUAUGAUCGCGAACCUUUUGAACUAUUCCGAUUUGUCUUUUGUUCUUUUUUUGCCAAAGUUUCAUUGAACAAUUUGUGCCUGAAUGUUCGCAACUCCUAAUUCUUCGAGAUUAACGUUUUCAUGUGGUAAAAUUAAACACCGUAUCACGAGUCCUUCAGAUUGAAUUAAGCGCGAUUACAAGUAAUGAACAGUCGAGUCCAGCUUCCUUCAGUUUACAGAUGUUCAAUUUCUUCGUUCUAUUGAGUCUUCUGAACCUAAAUUAAUUUACAGUCGACUUGAUAUCUCGUUUGCUUUAGGUUUAAUCUUAAAUCUUAAAAAAAAACUACAAAUAUCUAGAAGUGGCUCCCUUAUCAAGAACAGAAGUGUAGCAAGAGGUCAAUCUUUUAUCCAAACUGCAGUCUUGAUUCUUAAUUUUUGCAGUUACUUCAUUGUUCAUGAAACAACCCUUUAACCAAUCUGUUUUAUGAAAUUGUUAGAAUGGUUACAAGCUUCAUUUGAAGCAAUUCAUAAUACCCUAAAGAAAAUGCCAUGUGUAAUCUCCUUGAGUUUACAGAUGUUUGAACUGCAAUACUGACAUAUAUGUGCAAGCAAAAGACUAUGAAAUAUGCAUGUUCAUAUGGAAUUCAUAUCUGAUUUUUAAACUAUUCUAUUGGAUUUUCUUAUGAUACAGAAGCAAAGUAACUGAAAAGUUGUUUAGAUCUUCCUUUCUUUAAUUCUCUGCAUGAAAUUUUGUCCCAAAAAACCACAUCUUUAUGUGAUGGUGCAGUUUAUGUGAUUAUGUCAAUCUUUCUGGAUGCAUACCUACCACAUGGAUUCAAGUCUAUAUGAGAUAAUGACCGAUUUUGAUAUUGCACUAGCAUAAAAAUUGAAAUGACGUGUCUGAGGUAACUAGAUGUGGCAUCUUUAUCAUCUUUUUAGGAAUAAUAAUAUAAGAUAACAAGAUAAAUCCACAUACAUCAACCAUGUUUAUUUCAUACGAAAGUAUUCUAUUUGUAGAACUACUUGGAUACCAUUGACUUCUGUUAUGAUAUCUUUUAUCCAACACUUGUUCUCUUUACUUAUGACCUCAUAGUCAAUAAUAAACAUUUGGUUGUUGAUACCUAUUUGGUAUGUCCAUUUUCUAUAUUUAACAUGUAUGUGUACCCUUGUAGGCCAAUGUAAUUAUGCAACACACACAUAGUUAAAUACAAGGUUAUCGUGCUAUGUCCAUAGGAGAACUUUAGAAGUUUCUAUUAAUUCAAUAACAUUAGGGGUUACAAGAACAUUAGGGGUUACAAGAUAUACGAGUAAACAUGUACACUAGCCAAGGCCCACAAAACCCAAAUGGUCCUUUGUAAAAGCCAUUGCUUAGUCACAUUAGCAGCAAUCAGAUUCCACAACUUAACAAAUCGGUCCCACACUCCCACUACUAAUAUGAGGAGGUAAAGCACAAUGCAAUCAGAUUCCAUAACUAAACAAAUCGGUCUCACUACCAAUAUGAGGUAAAUCACAAUGCAAUUAGAUUCCACAACUUAACAAAUCGGUCCUACUACUAAUAUGAUGAGGUAAAUCACAAUGCAAUCAGAUUCCACAACUUAACAAAUCGGUCCCACUACCAAUAUGAGGUAAAUCACAAUGCAAUCAAUAACUUAACAAAUCGGUCCCACUACUAAUAUGAGGAGGUAAAUCACAAUGCAAUCAGAUUCCACAACUUAACAAAUCGUCCUACUACCAAUAUGAGGAGGUAAAUCACAAUGCUUCCUGAAUAAAAAAAAAAAGAGAGAUGAUGCCCUCGAACAUGUGACUUUAUUUAUAGAUUCUCACCUCCUUACUGUCAGAACAAAAAAAAUUUAUUGCGCACGUGUGUCAAAAAGCAAUUCCGUAACUAAUUUAUAACCACCAUGAUUUACUGGAUACGUUACUUCAAGAUGACUUGAUAAAACGGUUCCAAAAGGGUCAAUUAAAAUGGUAAAUUUGUGCAAGAAACUUUAGCGGUGAAGUUGAUUGGUAUGAACAGUAGUGACGGUAGUUCCUGGAAAAGUAGGGGCAAUGUUUUUCUUCCUAGAAAGGUAAGGUUCUUUUCAUAAAAUCACAAUCAACCAACAAUAAAAAGCUUCUUUUCUUUUCUAAAUGAUGAUGAUGAUUAUAAAUUAAAGUUGUUUUAUGGGAGAAUAGAAACUCACUUCACAUCCCCCUUCCCUUUUUUCUUUCUUUCUUUCUUCAAUCCUUUUGCCCCCACUCAUGAUUUGGUCUCUAUGGUCAUUGCUGUGUCCCAAACCUUUUGCUUGUCUCAAUAGAAAGAAAAGGAAUAUUUAAUCUUGUCUGUUUAAACCUCAUUAUGAUUCUGCCUUCUCUCUUUCAUAUCACAUGUACUAGAAUAUAUUAUUUUAGAUGCAUUUUAGUAUCAUAAAUAACCAAAAAUUCUUCGUCUUUUUCUUUUUAAAUGUC